rnacentral:misc_RNA from 1 species
UCACUACUUGCGUAGGCAGUCUGGCUAGAGUCCCCACCAUUACGUGCUGGUAACUAACCACAGGGGUUGCGCUCGUUGCGCCACUUAAGGCAACACCUCACGGCACGAGCUGACGACAGCCAUGCAGCACCUUCGCCGCUGCCCCGAAGGGAAGACCCCUUUCAGGGCCGGUCAGCGGCGAUUUAGCCUGGGUAAGGUUCUUCGCGUUGCAUCGAAUUAAGCCACAUGCUCCACCGCUUGUGCGGGCCCCCGUCAAUUCCUUUGAGUUUCAUUCUUGCGAACGUACUCCCCAGGUGGUAUGCUUACUGCGUUAACUGCGUCACCGGCCCCUAAGGGCCGACAACUAGCAUACAUCGUUUACAGCGCGGACUAC